UGUUCCCUACGGGGGGCAGCAGUGAGGAAUAUUGGUCAAUGGGCGGAAGCCUGAACCAGCCAAGUCGCGUGAGGGAAUAAGGCCCUACGGGUCGUAAACCUCUUUUGCCGGGGAGCAACGGGCGUCACGUGUGGCGCCACUGAGAGUACCCGGAGAAAAAGCAUCGGCUAACUCCGUGCCAGCAGCCGCGGUAAUACGGAGGAUGCGAGCGUUAUCCGGAUUUAUUGGGUUUAAAGGGUGCGUAGGCGGAUCGUUAAGUCAGUGGUCAAAUUGAGGGGCUCAACCCCUUCCCGCCAUUGAAACUG
rnacentral:rRNA from 1 species